AACCACUCUGAGAGUCCUUCAGUAAGGCAGGGUUUUCCUGAAACUUAGGCCUAAUUUUUCUGUUGGUGAAACUGGAGAGCUGCGGUGAGGCUGACUCUGCCCCUCUUUGGUAGGAGUGGGCCUUCUGGAGGUGGUCCUGGAGCCCGACAUGUCCUGUGGAGAAGAGGCGGCAACAGCUGUCAGGGAGCUGCAGCUGAUCCUUCAAGCCCUGGGGACCAGCCAGGCGAACAUGGCAGAGGGCCAGUUGAGAGUGGAUGCCAAUAUAUCCGUGCAUCACCCUGGGGAGCCUUUGGGCGUUCGAACGGAAGUGAAGAAUCUCAACAGCAUCAGGUUCCUGGCCAAAGCCAUAGACUAUGAAAUUCAGAGGCAAAUCAAUGAACUUGAGAAUGGAGGUGAAAUUCUGAACGAAACACGCUCAUUUCAUCACAAGCUGGGGUGCACCAUGUCAAUGAGAGACAAAGAAGGAAAACAGGACUACAGGUUCAUGCCAGAACCCAACCUGCCUCCCCUGGUGCUCUACGACGCCACAUCUCUGCCCUCAGGUGCAGACCCACAGCAAGUGAUCAAUAUUGACCAGAUUCGGGAGACACUCCCGGAGCUCCCCAGUGUGACCCGAGAGAAGCUUGUCCAACAGUAUGGGAUGCUGCUGGAACACAGCUUCACUUUGCUGAACGAAGUCGGCCUACUGGAGUUCUUC
rnacentral:sRNA from 1 species